UACGUAGGGGGCAAGCGUUGUUCGGAAUUAUUGGGCGUAAAGAGCUCGUAGGCGGUUUGUUGCGUCGGCUGUGAAAUCCCGAGGCUCAACCUCGGGUCUGCAGUCGAUACGAGCAAACUAGAGUGUUGCAGGGGAGACUGGAAUUCCUGGUGUAGCGGUGAAAUGCGCAGAUAUCAGGAGGAACACCGGUGGCGAAGGCGGGUCUCUGGGCAACAACUGACGCUGAGGAGCGAAAGCGUGGGGAGCGAACAGG
rnacentral:rRNA from 1 species